rnacentral:rRNA from 1 species
GUGCCAGCAGCCGCGGUAAUACGGAGGGUGCAAGCGUUAUCCGGAUUCACUGGGUUUAAAGGGUGCGUAGGUGGACAGGUAAGUCAGUGGUGAAAUCUCCAAGCUUAACUUGGAAACUGCCGUUGAUACUAUCUGUCUUGAAUAUCGUGGAGGUAAGCGGAAUAUGUCAUGUAGCGGUGAAAUGCUUAGAUAUGACAUAGAACACCGAUUGCGAAGGCAGCUUACUACGCGGUCAUUGACACUGAGGCACGAAAGCGUGGGGAGCAAACAGGAUUAGAAACCCGAGUAGUCC